rnacentral:rRNA from 1 species
AUACGUAGGUGGCAAGCGUUGUCCGGAUUUAUUGGGCGUAAAGCGAGCGCAGGCGGUUCUUUAAGUCUGAUGUGAAAGCCCCCGGCUCAACCGGGGAGGGGCCUUGGAAACUGGAGAACUUGAGUGGCGAAGAGGGGAGUGGAAUUCCCUGUGUAGCGGUGAAAUUGGUAGAUAUAUGGAGGAACACCAGGGGCGAAGGCGGCUCUCUGGUCUGUAACUGACGCUGAGGCUCGAAAGCGUGGGGAGCAAACAGGAUUAGAUACCCUGGUAGUCCACGCCGUAAACGAUGAGUGCUAAGUGUUGGAGGGUUUCCGCCCUUCAGUGCUGCAGCUAACGCAUUAAGCACUCCGCCUGGGGAGUACGGCCGCAAGGCUGAAACUCAAAUGAAUUGACGGGG